GAUGAACGCUAGCGGCAGGCCUAACACAUGCAAGUCGAGGGGUAACUAGAGUGAUAGCAAUAUUACUUUGGCUAGACCGGCGCACGGGUGCGUAACACGUAUGCAACCUACCUUAUACUGGGGAAUAACUUCGAGAAUUCGGCGCUAAUACCCCAUAACAUUGCGAAGAGGCAUCUCUUUGCCAUUAAAGCUCCGGCGGUAUAAGAUGGGCAUGCGUCCAAUUAGCUAGUUGGUGAGGUAACGGCUCACCAAGGCUACGAUUGGUAGGGGUUCUGAGAGGAUGAUCCCCCACACUGGUACUGAGACACGGACCAGACUCCUACGGGAGGCAGCAGUGAGGAAUAUUGCGCAAUGGACGAAAGUCUGACGCAGCCAUGCCGCGUGCAGGAUGACGGCCCUAUGGGUUGUAAACUGCUUUUGUACGGGAAUAAACCCUUCUACGUGUAGGAGGCUGAAGGUACCGUAAGAAUAAGCACCGGCUAACUCCGUGCCAGCAGCCGCGGUAACAC
rnacentral:rRNA from 1 species